GACGAACGCUGGCGGCGUGCUUAACACAUGCAAGUCGAACGGUAAGGCCCUUCGGGGUACACGAGUGGCGAACGGGUGAGUAACACGUGGGUGAUCUGCCCUGCACUUCGGGAUAAGCCUGGGAAACUGGGUCUAAUACCGGAUAGGACCAUGGACUUCACGGUUUGUGGUGGAAAGCUUUUGCGGUGUGGGAUGGGCCCGCGGCCUAUCAGCUUGUUGGUGGGGUAAUGGCCUACCAAGGCGACGACGGGUAGCCGGCCUGAGAGGGUGUCCGGCCACACUGGGACUGAGAUACGGCCCCAGACUCCUACGGGAGGCAGCAGUGGGGAAUAUUGCACAAUGGGCGCAAGCCUGAUGCAGCGACGCCGCGUGAGGGAUGACGGCC
rnacentral:rRNA from 1 species